rnacentral:sRNA from 1 species
CCUACUCCAACAGGGCCACCUUCUAAUAGUGCCACUAUCUGGGCCGAGCAUAUACAAACCAUCACACUAAUUAAAGUAUGUAUUAUCUCAAAAACUUUACAUUUUAAAUAAUAAUAUAUUAGAAUAGGUUAGAAGCAUCAGGUUUAGUGUCCUGGUAGUAUUACUUGAUAAUUAAUCAUCAGUACAUUAAGCUUCAUAGUCAGCAUUUUAAACAGGAACCUAGGAACCCAAAAACUCAGCCACUCCUGAAGUAUCCAUCUUUUAAUCCCGGCCAAGAUAGCAGCCUUGCUUGCUGUUCUGGGGUCAUAAACCAAAGGGGCAGCCAAGCAAUGGAUGAACCAAGUGGUAAGGCUCGUAUGUCAGGGGUAUUUGUGGAGUAGAAACAAGGAUAGGAGUGGUGGUGACUAUGGAAGCUCUUGCCCAUAGCUACCAGGAUCUCCAACCAAAGAACAAAAUUCUGGUCCAUAAGACUGAUAUCUCCAAGAGGUGAGUACCACUGAGCCCUCUGCAUAUUUCAGGAAAAUGUGCCAACAUCGUGUGGAAAAGUUUCACUUCAACAAUACCAGGGUGCACAGGAUGAAGCACAGCAACAGAGCAGGCCGCCCUGCUCUACUGAACCUGAAGGAAACUGCAGGAGACACACUAAAGACGCUAGUUAUGAACAGGCUUAUUUAAAACUGAAAUAACUACAAGAUCCCACUGACUUGAUUUGGAUAAAGUAAAUAUCAACAUUCGCAUGUAAUGCCAUGAGUCUGGCGAGUAAGUCACAUUUAAACAAUGACGAUAUUAAAAGGAAGAAGGAAGUAAGAGUAAGAGGAUUUCUUUUAAACCCCAAAGACCAUCUAACACACAUCUAACCCCAAGUCACUUCAAGCGGGGCUAAGGACGGCUGAAGGCAGGGCCAGCACUAAGAGCUUCAAUGAUGUACAACUCAAACAUGCAAAGGGAGAUUAAAGUUAUUUUAUUAAAUCAUGCACAUCACGUGUGUUAGUGCAAAUAGUUUAAUCUGUACUCCAGAAAUUCUAUUGUACGUUUUAUCUUUACAAAAUAGAUUUCAAACAAUUAUUUACUUUAAAAAAGGUAAUUUUGAAGUUAUGCAUUUCAGAACAGUAUUUGCAAUAACUAUAUACAAGAGGUGCUGGGUGCCAAUGGCAUUAGCACUCUGUGGUGGAGUGGCUUGCUGCAACAGAGAAUGGUAAAAUGACUAUACGACAGUAUUUUCUACAAGUCACUUGUGGCUAACUCCUCCAUAAAUCUAGUGAUUCUCCCGGCAACAAUCCCAAUAGCUUUAAAUACAACUUUUAAAGUAAAAACAAUGACUGCCAAACAUCACAAAGCAAAUGAUAUCCUAAACUCCUUUCUCGAUAUGUGGCUAGGUCUGGGUAUUCCAGCCAAUUCAUUGAUGUUCCCCUCCAGUCUCCAUGGACCGAAGGGAAUUUAACUAUGUGAUACUUGGAUAUUGACAUCACUAUGGUGCCGCACAAAACCACAGCUAAACUUAACCUCUGUGUAAAUGCACAAUGCCAAGCAGUGCUUACGUGUGUCACUGUGCGCAGAACACUACCGACCUUGGGAAGAGUGCUGUUCCAAUCAACAACAAAGAGAGAAGGACCAUUUGUAUACCCAACCAAGAAAUCUGUUAGCUGGGAACAUCAGCUCGCCCUGAAUGUGAAUUAGCUCCACAUCAAAACCAAAUUAAGUCAACAAAGCUUAACUAGACAGAUAUAAUUCUUCCUUCAAU